rnacentral:rRNA from 1 species
GACGAACGCUGGCGGCGUGCUUAACACAUGCAAGUCGAACGCCCUAGCAAUAGGGAGUGGCAGACGGGUGAGUAACACGUGGGAACCUUCCCUAUAGUACGGAAUAUACCAGGGAAACUUGGAGCAAUACCGUAUACGCCCGAGAGGGGAAAGAUUUAUCGCUAUAGGAUGGGCCCGCGUAGGAUUAGCUAGUUGGUGAGGUAAUGGCUCACCAAGGCGACGAUCCUUAGCUGGUUUGAGAGAACGACCAGCCACACUGGGACUGAGACACGGCCCAGACUCCUACGGGAGGCAGCAGUGGGGAAUAUUGGACAAUGGGCGCAAGCCUGAUCCAGCCAUGCCGCGUGAGUGAUGAAGGCCUUAGGGUUGUAAAGCUCUUUUGCCGGGGACGAUAAUGACGGUACCCGGAGAAUAAGUCCCGGCUAACUUCGUGCCAGCCGCCGCGGU